CGUCUCUAUCGUCUUUGAUUCUUGUUAUAUUUAGAUUGCAUGAUUUAGUGUUUUUGUUUUAAGUAGGAAAUUGUGAAUUUAAUUGGGGGUGAGAUUAUUGCUCCUAAGGAGUAUUGGGUAUUGUUUUUGGAUGCAAAAUGGGCAAAUUUUAUUGGGAUUUUGAUAUCAUGCCCUUCAUCCAUUUGACUUAUUCCCUGCAUACGUAGAAAGUAAUCAAAACGUGCGCUUUCAUUGGAGAUAACCAUUUGAAAUGCAUAUGAAAUUUUCUUAGUUAAUAGGUGGAGUCUUUUUGUUGUGUGUUCAAAAUUUGAUUUCACUUGAAGAAUGUUAAUUUCUAAGUAUUUUUUAUAUUGCUUUAUAUUGUUUGAUGAUCCCCCUUUAUUCCAUCCAGUUGGUUUUGUCAGGUUCAGUUUGGAUGUCUCUAAUAUUUACUGUUAUCUGGUUUCAGUAUCAACCAGGAAGGCUUGAAUUUGAAAUGGCGCAAGGGAACUUGAGGGCUGCUUUAUAGAUUGCGGAGACAUAUAUAUAUUUUUAAAGGUUUAGAUGUUGCCUCUGGAUUCUUCAUGCCAAAAGAGACUGCUGGGGAGUUUGGUUUGACAGAUCCUAUGUC
rnacentral:misc_RNA from 1 species